rnacentral:rRNA from 1 species
GACGUAGGGCGCGAGCGUUGUCCGGAUUUAUUGGGCGUAAAGAGCUCGUAGGCGGCUUGUUGCGUCGACUGUGAAAACCCGCGGCUUAACUGCGGGCUUGCAGUUGAUACGGGCAGGCUAGAGUUCGGUAGGGGAGACUGGAAUUCCUGGUGUAGCGGUGAAAUGCGCAGAUAUCAGGAGGAACACCGGUGGCGAAGGCGGGUCUCUGGGCCGUUACUGACGCUGAGGAGCGAAAGCGUGGGGAGCGAACGGG